rnacentral:sRNA from 1 species
GCCGGGCAUGGUGGUGCAUGCCUGUAAUCCUAGCUACUUGGGAGGCUGAGACAGGAGAAUUGCUUGAACCCGGGAGGCGGAGGUUGCAGUGAGCUGACAUUGAGCCACUGCAGUCCAGCCGUAGUGACAGAGUAAAACUCUGUCUCAA